AAAAAAAAAAAAAGAAAAAGAAAAAGAAUUUGGUGUGACAGCUUGUCUUUCUUUUUUCGAUUCGCCUUGCAGGAAGAUGUCGUAGUUACAAAUUUUAAAAAUGAUAACGAUAGUUUAGGCUGGGAGUUUUGCUAAAAAUGUUUUAGGAUAAAGUUCUACCACGCGGCGGGUGGGUGUCGGCCAUCACGAUUUGGUGGCGACAUGGGUGAAACGUGCGUGUUGUUAUGUUGUUGUGAUUAAGAAU